GCUCCCAUAGCUCAGUUGGUUAGAGCGCGACUUUAGUAAGGUCGAGGUCCGUGGUUCGAAUCCGCGUGGGAGCA
rfam:Acanthocystis turfacea Chlorella virus 1, complete genome.